GAGCAUCAGCACCUUGGCUUUAGACUGCUUACUGCUUUAAAAAAAAGUCUCACAGUUACAGUAACAGUCUACAGUCAUGGCUACUGAUGCCUG
rnacentral:pre_miRNA from 1 species